UGAGGAAUUUUCCGCAAUGGGCGAAAGCCUGACGGAGCGACGCCGCGUGUGCGAUGAAGUCUUUCGGGAUGUAAAGCACUGUCAGUGGGGAAGAUAUUGACGGUACCCACAGAGGAAGGCCCGGCUAACUACGUGCCAGCAGCCGCGGUAAUACGUAGGGGCCAAGCGUUGUCCGGAAUUAUUGGGCGUAAAGGGUGCGUAGGCGGUUUGUUAAGUCAGAUGUUAAAUCUGCAGGCUCAACCUGUAGCCGCAUCUGAUACUGACAGGCUGGAGAAUAGUAGAGGAAAGCGGAACUUUCGGUGUAGCGGUGAAAUGCGUAGAUAUCGAAAGGAACACCAGUGGCGAAGGCGGCUUUCUGGGCUAUUUCUGACGCUGAAGCACGAAAGCCAGGGGAGCAAACGGG
rnacentral:rRNA from 1 species